rnacentral:rRNA from 1 species
ACGCUCGACACCUACGGGAGGUAGCAGUGGGGAAUAUUGCACUAAUGGGGGAAACCCUGAUGCAGCAACGCCGCGUGAAGGAAGACGGUUUUCGGAUUGUAAACUUCUGUUCUUAGUGAAGAUAGUGACGGUAGCUAAGGAGCAAGCCACGGCUAACUACGUGCCAGCAGCCGCGGUAAUCUGAGCGGGCUGGCAAGGC